rnacentral:rRNA from 1 species
AUACGUAGGGUGCAAGCGUUAAUCGGAAUGACUGGGCGUAAAGCGUGCGCAGGCGGUUUUGGAAGAUAGGGGUGGAGUCCCCGGGGGCAAGCGGGGAGAUGUCGGUGGUAGUGGAAGGCUUGAGUGCGGACGAGGGGGAUGGAAUUACCCGGGGAGCAGUGAAAUGCGUAGAUAUGCGGAGGAACACCGAUGGCGAAGGCAAUCCCCUGGGCCUGCACUGACGCUCAUGCACGAAAGCGUGGGGAGCAAACAGGAUUAGAUACCCUGGUAGUCCACGCCCUAAACGAUGUCAACUGGUUGUUGGGGAUUUAUUUUCUCAGUAACGAAGCUAACGCGUGAAGUUGACCGCCUGGGGAGUACGGCCGCAAGGUUAAAACUCAAAUGAAUUGGCGGGG